UGUAUAUUAUCAUUGGUCAUAUAACAUUAAAUGUUAAUAAAUUUUACAUGAAAAACCGAAAAUGUCAUAUAAUUUGAAACAUAAAAAAUUUUCUAAAAUGAUUUAUAUUUAAAAACAGAGGGAGUAUCAUAUAUUAGAGAAUGCUACUUACCCAAAUUUAUCGAACUAAAUGUUUGGUAGUUUCCAUGUUAAAAUGUGAAAAUAGUUGUUAAUUGGCCUUUUGCAGGUUCAUAUUAAUUAAUGUAAUUAUUUUCUUGGAAUAAAAUUGGAGAGAGUCGUCGGUGGUCUAAUCUGGUGGCUUUUUAAUAUAAACCGACCAACCCUCAGCACUAAGGUUAGAUUUAGCACUAGGGUUAGAUUUAGAAGGUUCUCUUUCUAUGGGGUUAGAAAGGGAUUCAAAC
rnacentral:lncRNA from 1 species